CCUACGGGAGGCAGCAGUGGGGAAUAUUGGACAAUGGGGGGAACCCUGAUGCAGCGACGCCGCGUGAGUGAAGAAGUAUUUCGGUAUGUAAAGCUCUAUCAGCAGGGAAGAAAAUGACGGUACCUGACUAAGAAGCCCCGGCUAACUACGUGCCAGCAGCCGCGGUAAUACGUAGGGGGCAAGCGUGAUCCGGAUUUACUGGGUGUAAAGGGAGCGUAGACGGGGCGGCAAGUCUGAUGUGAAAGGUCGGGGCCCAACCCCGGGACUGCAUUGGAAACUGUUGUACUGGAGUGCAGGAGAGGUAAGCGGAAUUCCUAGGGUAGCGGUGAAAUGCGUAGAUAUUAGGAGGAACACCAGUGGCGAAGGCGGCUUACUGGACUGUAACUGACGUUGAGGCUCGAAAGCGUGGGGAGCAAACAGGAUUAGAUACCCGUGUAGUC
rnacentral:rRNA from 1 species